rnacentral:rRNA from 1 species
GAUGAACGCUGGCGGCGUGCCUAACACAUGCAAGUCGAACGGAGUCCAGCCUUUAAGACCUUCGGGUCAAAGAGGGGAAGACUGAGUGGCGGACGGGUGAGUAACACGUGGGCAACCUGGCUCAUAGAGGGGGAUAACAGAGAGAAAUUUCUGCUAAUACCGCAUAAGCACACACUGCCGCAUGGCAGAGGGUGAAAAGAGAAUCGCUAUGAGAUGGACCCGCGUCUGAUUAGCCAGUUGGCAGGGUAAGAGCCUACCAAAGCGACGAUCAGUAGCCGAUCUGAGAGGAUGAACGGCCACAUUGGGAAUGAGACACGGCCCAAACUCCUACGGGAGGCAGCAGUGGGGGAUAUUGCACAAUGGGGGGAACCCUGAUGCAGCGACGCCGCGUGAGUGAAGAAGUAUUUCGGUAUGUAAAGCUCUAUCAGCAGGGAAGAUAAUGACAGUACCUGAAGAAGAAGCCCCGGCUAACUACGUG